CAAAAUACUGAGCUAGUGAAAUCCUGUAAAGUGGUGAAAAAGAAAAAUAUAUAUAUAGGACAAGUGUUUCCCAGCUUAAAACGGGAUGAUGAUGUUGUUUAUGCCGAUUCAUUCAGAGUGAAAAUAAAAAAAGUAUUAUAUAUCAGAGGAAUGUAAACGUUUAUAUAUCUGGAAGGCUUUAUAAAACAGGUGUGGAUUAAAACUUUAUUGGAGUAUAGCACAUAAAAAAGGAAUUUGCUUUAAUUUUUUCUUCGUGUGGAUGAACUGAGGAUAUAAUAGUAGACAAAUGGCGCAAGACAAACACAGGCCAAAGAAAAUUACCUUCACCAAAACCGAGAGAAGCUUUGAAUCUGCAGACUCCAUUAGUCAAACAACCCCAGAUGCUUCUGAAAAUGAGGAACGGAGUGCACUGCAAGCCGAGACUAAAAGGCUUGCCUUAGAACAGUUGCAAAAGGCAAAGGUAUGAUAAUGAUAAAUUAGCAGUGUUUGAGAGGCACUAAUAUUAGAUCACAAACACAAAGUGUUCUUUCAAAAACAUCUUUCAAACAAAAAGUAAAAAGAGGCGAAGUCAAAAAAGAAAAUGAUGGGUUUGCACUUAAAUGUGUUAAAUGUUGCCAUUUUGUUUAUUGCGUGGCACCUGUUGUUAGCUGAUAUAGAUCUUGGCAGGGGGGCUAUGCUAGUGCAUCCUCUUACU